rnacentral:rRNA from 1 species
UACGGGGGGAGCAAGCGUUGUUCGGAUUUACUGGGCGUAAAGGGCGCGUAGGCGGUCAGCACAAGUCAGUUGCGAAAUCUCCGGGCUUAACUCGGAAAGGUCAACUGAUACUGUGCGACUAGAGUGCGGAAGGGGCACUGGAAUUCUUGGUGUAGCGGUGAAAUGCGUAGAUAUCAAGAGGAACACCUGCGGCGAAGGCGGGUUGCUGGGCCGACACUGACGCUGAGGCGCGAAAGCCAGGGGAGCGAACGGG